rnacentral:tRNA from 1 species
GGGCUAUUAGCGCAGUCAGGUAGCGCAGCAGGCUUUUAACCUGAAAAAACAAAAUUCUUAAUUUUGUUUAAGGAAGGUCGGGGGUUCAAUUCCCCCAUAGCCCG